GACGAACGCUGGCGGCGUGCCUAAUACAUGCAAGUAGAACGCUGAAGGAGGAGCUUGCUUCUCUUGAUGAGUUGCGAACGGGUGAGAAACGCGUAGGUAACCUGCCUGGUAGCGGGGGAUAUCUAUUGGAAACGAUAGCUAAUACCGCAUAAGAGUAGAUGUUGCAUGACAUUUGCUUAAAAUGUGCAAUUGCAUCACUACUAGAUGGACCUGCGUUGUAUUAGCUAGUUGGUGAGGUAACGGCUCACCAAGGCGACGAUACAUAGCCGACCUGAGAGGGUGAUCGGCCAAACUGAGACUGAAACACGGCCCAGACUCCUACGGGGAGGCGCAGUAGGGAAUCUUAGGCAAUGGACGGAAGGCUGACCCCGCAACGCCCCGUGAGUGAAGAAGGGUUUCGGAUCGUAAAGCUCUGUUAUAAGAGAAGAACGGGUGUGAGAGUGGAAAGUUCACACUGUGACGGUAGCUUAACAAAAAGGGACGGCUAACUACGUG
rnacentral:rRNA from 1 species